UACGUAGGGGGCGAGCGUUGUCCGGAAUUACUGGGCGUAAAGCGCGCGUAGGUGGCACAGUCAGUCUCGUGUGAAAGCCUCCGGCCCAACCGGAGAACGUCGCGAGAAACUGCUGAGCUUGGAGUGUCGGAGAGGGAAGUGGAAGUCCCGGAGUAGGGGUGAAAUCCGUAGAGACCGGGCCGAACACCAGUGGCGAAGGCGACUUCCUGGCCGACGACUGACGCUGAGGCGCGAAAGCGUGGGGA
rnacentral:rRNA from 1 species